UCUUAUUUACACUUAAACAUCAAGAACAUAUUUACUAUUUACAUAUUAUUACUGUAAACAAAAAUAGGCCAGGAUUCAAUGCAAAUGCUUUAUCAUGUUUUUAGGAUUAAGAUUAAGAUUUCCUUUAUUGGACCCACAGUGGAGAAAUUGACAGUGUUGACAGCAGCAAAGUACAAUAUGCGGUAUAAAGAGUGAAGUCUAGCAUAGUGCUUUACAAAUAAGAUAUCAGCUUGCAAUUUUGUAGUUUUCCAGUUUACAGGUAUAGUUACUUUGAGAUAUUGCAAUUGAGAUAAUAAAUCAAUUAAUUAUAGAAGAUAAUAAUACAGAGAAACAAAGACUGUACAUAAUGACAGUCAAACAAUUUGACAUGUUACGAUUUUUACCAUUAUACUUAAAUAAACAGGUGAGUGACAUUCCACAUGAGAAUGGACAUUUUUGCUAUUACACAAGGUAAUGCUAGUUAUACAGUUAUUGCACAUAUACAGUUUUAGUAUGGUGUAUUGAUGACUACAUACCCUGAUCACUUCCCUCUGUAUCUGUCUCUGGUCUCUCUGUCCUACUGUCACCUCCUUCAUCUUGAAAAGGUGAUUUCUCACGGCAGCUAGGAGCACACACAGGGAACAAGUGGAGCAAAUCCGCUUUCUUCUCGUUCUCCAAACCAGCAGACAGUUGGCAGGUAUGUCCAUCACUUGAUAUGGUCACAUAUGUUUAUUAUUAAAAAACUAUUUCACAUGGUGUUUAAUGACAACAUGAGACACGUGUAUCUGUCUUUCUUGCCUGCAGUAUGUGGUUUAUAGACCUGGCAGGAAGUGAAAGGGCAUCAGACACCAAAAAAACAAACAGACACAGUCGCAUAGAAGGAGCUGAGAUCAACCAAAGUCUCUUAGCAGUAAGCUAAAUAAUUCACAAAGAGCCAAGGACAUCACAAAGAGUAUUGCCAUGAUGAUCGUGAAGGACCUACAACCCCUCUCUGUGGUUGAACAGGAGGGUUUCAAGAAUUUAAUAAAGACACUUGAUCCCCGCUACAGGAUGCCAAGUGAUUUCUCACGGCAGCUAGGAGCACACACAGGGAACAAGUGGAGCAAAUCCGCUUUCUUCUCGUUCUCCAAACCAGCAGACAGUUGGCAGUAUGUGGUUUAUAGACCUGGCAGGAAGUGAAAGGGCAUCAGACACCAAAAAAACAAACAGACACAGUCGCAUAGAAGGAGCUGAGAUCAACCAAAGUCUCUUAGCAGUAAGCUAAGUAAGUGAUAUGUUAACACACACAAAGAGCUCAAAUACAGAAACAAAGGUCAUUGUAUUUACCUUUUAUUUGUUUAAAGCUCAAAGAAUUGUAGGUGCAAUGGGUCGAGUGCUGCUUAGGAGCACUCGGUGUUA